rnacentral:rRNA from 1 species
GAUGAACGCUGGCGGCGUGCCUAAUACAUGCAAGUCGAGCGAACAGACGAGGAGCUUGCUCCUCUGACGUUAGCGGCGGACGGGUGAGUAACACGUGGAUAACCUACCUAUAAGACUGGGAUAACUUCGGGAAACCGGAGCUAAUACCGGAUAAUAUAUUUAACCGCAUGGUUCAAUAGUGAAAGACGGUUUUGCUGUCACUUAUAGAUGUAUCCGCGCCGCAUUAGCUAGUUGGUAAGGUAACGGCUUACCAAGGCAACGAUGCGUAGCCGACCUGAGAGGGUGAUCGGCCACACUGGAACUGAGACACGGUCCAGACUCCUACGGGAGGCAGCAGUAGGGAAUCUUCCGCAAUGGGCGAAAGCUUGACGGAGCAACGCCGCGUGAGUGAUGAAGGUCUUCGGAUCGUAAAACUCUGUUAUUAGGGAAGAACAAAUGUGUAAGUAACUAUGCACGUCUUGACGGUACCUAAUCAGAAAGCCACGGCUAACUACGUG